UGGAGGUCGGGAGUUCAGUUCGGAGUGACAGACAAGCAAACCAAGUGCGAGAAGGAGAGCGGGUCAGGGGAGGGAAAGAGGGAAUGGGCUCGCCCCAGGUUCGGCUGCCGGAGCAGGGCUGAAGCGAAGCUGAAGCGUCUUGUCUCCUGGAGAAAGCCGCAGCUCCUCUUGCAGCCAAAAAGUAAAUACAUUAGGAAAGAACCACGUAAUAGGCCUAAUAUUUAUUUAGUUAUGAAAUGAAUGCUGAAUAAGAUGCCUGUGUUAUAAAGUGCCAGUGCAGCUUUUCUUCAGUUCAGAUUCUGUAUCAAAAGGGAGAGACAGAAACGGAAGUUACACUGAGAAGUUGUUUACAGUUUUAACCGGUACUGUAUUUACUGUAGAAAUAUUGCAUGAAUCACUAGUAUAGGGAAUUGGGGGACAUGCUGUAGGAGAGUUAUAUCUGAGGUGUGUUAUAAUCGAGAGCCUUAUAGCGAGGGAUCACUGUAUAUAUGUAUGAAACCUUGCAUCAGACAUUUUAUUUGUAUUUUCUUUUUGUAUUUAUUUAGUUCUCACCCAAACACCUGGAAGAAAUGUCAGAACUCUGAGAAUUCAGAUACAGUGGAUCUUAUGAACUGGAUUAGCACAAAAACCUCCAAGAAAGCAGUUUUUGCAGGAAGCAUGCAGCUUUUAGCAGGAGUCAAACUGUGUACUGGAAGAGUCUUAACAAAUCACCCCCUCUUGAGGACAAGAGUUUGAGAGAGUGCACCAGACAGGUCUACCAUGUCUAUGCUCACUAGUCCCCUGAAGAUGUCCACAAGAUCCUGCGGUCCUUUGGCACAGACUAUGUAAUCCUUGAGGACAGUGUCUGCUAUGAGAGGAGACACAACCGAGGGUGUCGCUUGCAGGAUCUGCUUGAUGUAGCAAACAGCCAUGUAUGUGCUAUGUGACAGUUUACCUCUGAAUGCUUUGGAAUAUGCUGUGCUUGCAGUAUAUCCUGUAAAUUAUAUGAGACUGCCUGUCAACAACUUUCACUCUCAAAACACUUCAGAGAGAUGAGGCAUUUAAACAACCAUGUGACGAAGCUAAAUUAAAGCUGCAGUGUCCCACAAUCGUGUUCAGUAUUGCACUGAAACAUAAUUCAUUGGUUUACUACAUUCUUUGCUUUUUUUGUGCACUACUUUAUCAAAAAGCAGGUUUUGUUGGAAGUGCAGUUUGUUUGUAUCCCUAAAGAUGGUUGAAGCUGUAGGGACACAAGCAUCCUCCUCCCUUAAGACCUCCUAGCCACUGCAUCUCUCUGUGGGGUCCUGGUUGUACUUGCACCAGUUGGAGACCUUUAAAAAGGGGCUCUUCGGAUCCACGAGCCGAGCUGAGGCUUGAAUACAUGUAUGUGUCCUCUUUCUAAUAUUGAGCCUUUAUUACUUAUUUUUUAGAUUAUUAGUGGCCCAGGAGAGAAUGAGCUAGAUUUGAGUCCAUCCCCACACCCCCGGUUCUGUGAUGAAAUCAGAACAGAUCAGCCUCCGGUACACCACAUACUAAACCUGUGUAUUCACAUAUAAAACAUUCCACAAGCUGAAGAAAGGAAAGAAAAUCAAACUAAACAGUUGGUUAAAGGAUUGUAGUCUUAGGUCCAGAUAGCCAUCAUAACAGCGAUCAAUAUAUCUAAUGGCUUUCUAUUCAUGCAGUGCUGAGAUAGGGCUUUCGUGACAGGUGCCCUGUGUAUUGGAUUCCAAGAGUUCAAUUUACAUAAAAAUAUUUUAUGCGCAAACUGUUAUAAUAUCUGACUGACUUACAGAUAUUUUACAAACGGGGUGUCAGAAGGAAGCACAUAAAAAGCAUAAACUCAGGAUCAACGCCACCAGCAUUCUUGUCACGAGUAGAAUAAUGAAUGUUGAAGAAGUGCAUUCGUUUUUGGAUUGCAUGCAUUUUUUUUCAAUCUUGAGACUGCUGUAAUUGUAAUCAUGUUAUCCUGUAUGCACAAAAAAACCCUGUCCAUCCACUUUUAAAGUCUUGUUAGUACAUUUUAUUUUAUUUUUUCUUUAACAUACUGACUGUUUCUAAAAAAAUGCACUGUAUCCUUUCAUUGUGGGAUGAGUUAUUCUGUAAUAGAAUUGUAGAGCUUAAAAAGUAAAACAGCAUUAAGGUGAAACAUGCAUGCUUUCUUAUAAUGCUAUUCAUGUUGGCCCAGAAAUUGACAUUUCUACACGUUUUAUUUUUUAUUUGAGUUACUGUGGAUGUUUAGCUGCUUGUUUUUUUGGAUUGUCAAGCACAUCUGCAGUACUGAAUCCUUUCAAAAAGGAUGUCCUUGCAAGGGUAAAUGCUAGUUGCCGGUCUCCUAGCAGCUGCAAGAUUAUAAAGCAAUACAAAUCUAAUUGUGAGAUUGACAGGAAGUGAAUUUUACAUUCCUCAGUGCUUUUAUUUUGCGUUUCUUUUGCUUUCUUGUCAGUGACUUUCAGUGUUCUCCCCAUGAGAAAUCGGAGUUACAUAUUUCAUGUCAUUUAUCCUAAUUACUGCUGGUCUUGCAUGAGUAUUGGGAAGAAUUAUUCUUUCUAUAAAAAUGCUGAAAAAAGCAACCAAACUUAUGGAACAUAUGGUUUCAGGCUGAAACAAGCCUGAAAUGUAUGCUUUUGAUGUAAAGCUCUCUUUACAAAUCAUUACUGUUACUAAUUUUAGACAUCAAGGUUCUUCCACUAUGACUGUUUUUUGCCUCUUAAAACUGUAAGACAUUCCUUGGUGUGUGUGGAGCUAGUGCCAUAAAAGAGGCUUGUUUGCGUUUUACAAAUAACUGUAACAUUGACAUCAUUUCUUAAUUAGUUGAUGAUAUGCAGCAUACCGCUUUUGAACCAAUCUUUUACAUUAUUCUCUGAAAAAUUAUUUUUCAGAGCACACACUUUUUGACCUUCCCUGUAGAUGCAAAGCCAGUUGCUACCUUAGAAAUGUACAUUUUGAUUUGGCUGCUCUCUAAGUAGGUGUUUAUUGCACCCUGUGGCUGGUUCAGCUUCAAGCAGCUUUGGAGUCAAGACACAACGCCCAGAAGUGUGUUAUUUAGGUUAGCAUCACAUUGAUUUUGUUAUUUGAAUGACAUUUGUAGCACUAUUAGACAAUAAAUAACCUAUUCCAUUGAGCCUUUAUGUACUGAAAUGUCACAAAAGUGUUCACAUAAAAAGGUAGAAACACCAUUAAAUUUUAAACUAUAUUAACUAGUGUUAUUCUCUAGCAUUGAGUCAAAACCAUCCAUAUGUAUUAUCUCAGAGUUAUUACCUGCAUGUGCUGCAUACAUUAUACGCCAUGAUUUGCACUAGCACUACUAAAGUAUUUUAAUUAUAAAAGUGUUACUUUUUUGUAAUCUGAAUUGUUUCAUGUAGGCACAUCCCUACAUGCAUCAUUGUGCUCACUCAAAAAGUGCAAUAUAUGUCUGUG